UACAGAGGGGGCAAGCGUUAUUCGGAAUUAUUGGGCGUAAAGGGCGCGUAGGCGGCCUGGCAAGCGACGGGUGAAAUCCCUCGGCUUAACCGAGGAACUGCCUGUCGAACUGCCUGGCUUGAGUCCGGGAGAGGCGAGUGGAAUUCCCAGUGUAGCGGUGAAAUGCGUAGAUAUUGGGAGGAACACCAGUGGCGAAGGCGGCUCGCUGGACCGGAACUGACGCUGAGGCGCGAAAGCGUGGGGAGCAAACAGG
rnacentral:rRNA from 1 species